UUCAAUGGAGAAGGACCACAGGCUUUGAUGGUGGCUCCGUUUUCUACCUUUUAAAAUUGCUCGGCUCAGCCCAACUAUCACCAACACCAUGUAACCAACUUAUUUCGCGCCAAUCCUCAACAUCAACGGCCCCCCUAGUCUCAGUUCCCGCCGUCCAGUUCUCCACACCAAAUCUGUCCAAGGUCACUCGCUGUUCCCCUCAAUCUCUCUUGCACAUUCAUAUGCAUGGAUGGAAUUAGGGUUUAGGUCGCUGUAAUAGUUUAGUUUUCAGGCUGAAAUGUAAAAAAGACCGAUUUGAUUUCUCUUUCAUGUAUUAGAAACUCAUUUGACUUGUUCAAGAAAUCGGAUUUGAGGUGGGUUUUAUACAAUUUUCCGAGAUUAACUUCUUUUUUGUGUGUGUUUCUGGCUUGUUAAUUGCGGUUGUUGAUGGAAGUGAAUGUUAAUGUAGUUUAUGUAUUUGUAGAAAGUCUCCACUCAACACGUUCAUUGAUUGUUUCAAACUUGAGCAAAUCAUAUCCAUUGCUGACUGUUUGAUGGUUAAC
rnacentral:lncRNA from 1 species